rnacentral:rRNA from 1 species
UACGGGGGGAGCAAGCGUUGUUCGGAUUUACUGGGCGUAAAGGGCGCGUAGGCGGUCAGCACAAGUCAGUUGUGAAAUCUCCGGGCUUAACUCGGAAAGGUCAACUGAUACUGUGCGACUAGAGUGCGGAAGGGGCAACUGGAAUUCUCGGUGUAGCGGUGAAAUGCGUAGAUAUCGAGAGGAACACCUGCGGCGAAGGCGGGUUGCUGGGCUGAUACUGACGCUGAGGCGCGAAAGCGUGGGGAGCGAACAGG